AUUGAACGCUGGCGGCAUGCCUUACACAUGCAAGUCGAACGGCAGCACGGGAGCAAUCCUGGUGGCGAGUGGCGAACGGGUGAGUAAUAUAUCGGAACGUGCCCAGUCGUGGGGAUAACGUAGCGAAAGCUACGCUAAUACCGCAUACGAUCUAUGGAUGAAAGCGGGGGAUCGCAAGACCUCGCGCGAUUGGAGCGGCCGAUAUCAGAUUAGGUAGUUGGUGAGGUAAAGGCUCGCCAAGCCGACGAUCUGUAGCUGGUCUGAGAGGACGACCAGCCACACUGGGACUGAGACACGG
rnacentral:rRNA from 1 species